ensembl:snoRNA
GGUCAGUGAUGAGCCUUGGCAUGUACUAUGUGAUCUAGAGUUGAUGUCUGUCGCCACUUUAGCUCUAGAAUUACUCUGAGACCCA